UCCUUGAUGGGUCCGCUGGUAGAUAUCGAUCCUAUCAGGAAGUUUGCCACUCUCUGCAUCUCUCUGCAAUUUGAGAACAGUUAAUUAAAAAAAUUUUAACUAGUUAGAGAGUUAAAAUAUAUUAAUUAGAAAUUACUUACCAUCUGCUCUAUAUGACGAGUGAACGAUCUUGAACCUUUAUAAUGCGACACGAUCUGUCUCGCUC
rnacentral:lncRNA from 1 species